GACAGAGGGUGCAAACGUUGCUCGGAAUUACUGGGCGUAAAGGGCGUGUAGGCGGGAAGGCAAGUCGGGCGUGAAAGCCCCAGGCUCAACCUGGGAACUGCACUCGAAACUGCCUUUCUUGAGUGCCGGAGAGGAAAGCGGAAUUCCUGGUGUAGACGGUGAAAUUCGUAGAUAUCAGGAGGAACACCAGUGGCGAAGGCGGCUUUCUGGACGGUAACUGACGCUGAGACGCGAAAGCGUGGGGAGCAAACAGG
rnacentral:rRNA from 1 species